rnacentral:misc_RNA from 1 species
CAACCCUUAAGCCUGUGUUGCUUAGUGUUGGGAGAAUACCUCCCCCAGGGGGGUAUCUCCUCAAAGUCAGUGGCGGAGUUAGGGCACACUCUCAGCGUAGUAGUUUCUCUCGCUCGGGUGGUGGCCCUGGCUGCUUGCCGUGAAGCCUUUGUAUUUUUCUAAU